GUUCUGUUGAUUGAAUUGUCUAUUGAUUUCAAUUGUUAGAAUUGGAUUAGUUUUUAUAAAAUAUGUGGACCAGAUUCGUGGUCAGACCAGAUUCGUGGUCAAUUAUAGGCCAAUGUGUGCCUUGGAUCCAGUAUAGAGAACAGGGCUGUGUGCCAUGUUCGGGGUUAGUGCGUGACUGAUCAGCAGCCUAACCUUUGGUUUUUAAGUAAAAAUGUGAUGAAUCCAAUUCGACAAUUCUUCUAAAAGCUUAGAGAUGAAUUGCUUGAUUGAGAUUGCGAGUAUGGCUAAGGCUAGGCGAGGAAUCAGAGUAUAGAGUAUCCAGAGGACAAGUGGAAUGUUCAGGGAGAUUGACAAGGUUGGUUCUAGAUAGAAUUGUAUUGAUGAGAUUCAGUUGUAAGUCAUAAUUGAAAUAGAUUGACAGUGAUUCUUCUUAUCGAAGAUGAUCUGAGUUUGUAAGAUAAUGUUUAUUAAUAGUGGUUGAUUCUAAUUUCAAUACUGUAACCUGGA